GUAAGGCCAACAUUACAGCAAAAGAGGCCGUGUCGAGGUGGACAGAUAAUGUUUUUGCAAUCAAAUCCUGGGCAAA